rnacentral:lncRNA from 1 species
GUUCUCUGGAAAGAAUCAUAUUGCAAGAUGCCCUAAAACUUUCAGGGGAAAAGAAAACAUUCCUAUUGCAGCUUUGGAGUCUGAACGUGUGGUUUCAACACGUAUCUCAUUAUCCUGGUCUCCUUCCUGUGGACUUCAGAAUUUACUGAGUUGUUCAAAACUCCGUGAGAAGCCGCACCGAAGGACAGGAGCUCAUCUGAUAGAGUGUGUAUGGCCUUCCUUUGAAAUCAAAUUCUGGCUCAGCUGGUUACCUGAGCUCUUGGAACCUCAGUCGCCUCAUCUCUAAAAUGCAGAUAAUAAUGAUGAUGGGAUUUAUCGAGGUACUUAAAUUUGACAACAACAGGUGUGAAAUUUGCCUGGUUUUUGAUGUACUGUUCUGAAGACGAGAGACAUAUAUUCACUACUAAGGAAGCAAAUCUAUGAAACUGGAGAGAAAAAUGUACUUUUCAGAUUGGUCUUAUUUAAAGCAUCUUCAUUUCUUGAGUAGUCAUUUAGAAAACAUUAUAUUUCAAGCUGCAUAGAUCUUUGUAAAAGUUUUGAAAGUCAUUUAAUAUAGUUUUUUUUCAGACUUUGGAUUUCAUGGACAAUAAAAUGCAAUUUAAUACAAAAGAAAAAGAUUUC